rnacentral:rRNA from 1 species
AGUCGAGCGGCAGCGGGAAGUAGCUUGCUACUUUGCCGGCGAGCGGCGGACGGGUGAGUAAUGUCUGGGAAACUGCCUGAUGGAGGGGGAUAACUACUGGAAACGGUAGCUAAUACCGCAUGACCUCGAAAGAGCAAAGUGGGGGAUCUUCGGACCUCACGCCAUCGGAUAUGCCCAGAUGGGAUUAGCUAGUAGGUGAGGUAAUGGCUCACCUAGGCGACGAUCCCUAGCUGGUCUGAGAGGAUGACCAGCCACACUGGAACUGAGACACGGUCCAGACUCCUACGGGAGGCAGCAGUGGGGAAUAUUGCACAAUGGGCGCAAGCCUGAUGCAGCCAUGCCGCGUGUGUGAAGAAGGCCUUAGGGUUGUAAAGCACUUUCAGCGAGGAGGAAGGCAUCAUACUUAAUACGUGUGGUGAUUGACGUUACUCGCAGAAGAAGCACCGGCUAACUCCGUGCCAGCAGCCGCGGUAAUACGGAGGGUGCAAGCGUUAAUCGGAAUUACUGGGCGUAAAGCGCACGCAGGCGGUUUGUUAAGUCAGAUGUGAAAUCCCCGCGCUUAACGUGGGAACUGCAUUUGAAACUGGCAAGCUAGAGUCUUGUAGAGGGGGGUAGAAUUCCAGGUGUAGCGGUGAAAUGCGUAGAGAUCUGGAGGAAUACCGGUGGCGAAGGCGGCCCCCUGGACAAAGACUGACGCUCAGGUGCGAAAGCGUGGGGAGCAAACAG